rnacentral:rRNA from 1 species
GUGACCUCGGAUCGGAGGGGAAGAAAUUCAAGGGG